rnacentral:rRNA from 1 species
CCUAGUACGGCGAGUGAAGCGGGAAGAGCUCAAAUUUGAAAGCUGGUACCUUCGGUGCCCGCGUUGUAAUCUCGAGACGCGUUUUCCGCGCGGCGCUAUGGACAAGUUCCUUGGAACAGGACAUCGUAGAGGGUGAAAAUCCCGUACUUGCCAUGGAUGCACCGUGCUUUGUGAUACGUGCUCAAAGAGUCGAGUUGUUUGGGAUUGCAGCUCAAAAUGGGUGGUAGACUCCAUCUAAAGCUAAAUAUCGGGGAGAGACCGAUAGCGAACAAGUACCGUGAGGGAAAGAUGAAAAGCACUUUGGAAAGAGAGUUAAAAGUACGUGAAAUUGUCGAAAGGGAAGCGCUUGAAGUCAGCCAUGCCGCUCAGGACUCAGCCUGGCUUUUGCUUGGUGUACUUCCUGGGUAGCAAGUCAGCAUUGGUUUGGACCGUCGGAGAAGCAUGGCAGGAAUGUGACGCCCUCGGGCGUGUUAUAGCCUGCCAUUGGAUACGCCGGUCUAGACCAAGGAACGCAGUGCGCCCUUAUGGCGGGUCUCGGACACCUUCGCACUAGGAUGC